ACGAUAGUAAUAUUGGUAAUAGUAAUAAUGUUAUAAAUAAUGCUGGAAGUGAAGGCCUUUUUUUUCUUUCUUCUAACGAUGUAACAGACAUAAACAAAAAUAUAAAAAGGAUUGCAUCCGAACAUAAUGGAUUAACAGCAUAUAAUAAUAUAGGUGAUAAAAAUAAUAAAAAUAAUAAUAAAAAUAAUAAUAGUUUUGGCAGUGACAGACUUGGUGAAGAUAAUCAAUACGACACCCACAGAAACGAUAGAAGUAAAAGUAUACGGACACUUAAAAGUCAAAUUAAUAAAAAUAAAAAAAGUGAGCUGAAUAAUUUGAAAUCAUUCAAACAUGAUUUGAAUCAUUUAACGGUUGAUUAUAAAAAUGUAGAAAAAAAUAAGGAUACUGUCUUUCGAACAAAGUUAAAUAAAACAAAAGUAACACCUGUAUUGAAUGGUGAUAUUAAUAAUUUAAAUGAUACUAAAGAAUUAGAAAGGUUAGGAAAAGAGAAGGUAGAUAUAUUCACUGUUGAAAAAAAGAGCGAUAAAAAUGAUGGUUAUAAUAAAAAACAGGUUGAUACAAAGGAUAUGAAUGUUGAUAGUGUUAACGUAAGUGAUAAACAGAAUGCUAAUUUCGAAAAAGAGAAAAUAGAUGAAAGUAGUUUAAAAGUAAGAUGGAAAGAAGACAUAGUAGAUAAGGAUGGGGGUAAAGAUGGGGGUAAAGAUGGGGAUAAAGGUGGGGAUAAAAAUGGGGAUGAAGGUGGGGAUAAUAAAGAUGGGGAUGAAGGUGAGGAUAAUAAAGAUGGGGAUGAAGGUGGGGAUAAAGAUGGAAAAGAAAAAAAGAAGAAAAAAGAAAUAGCAUUAAAUGGUGUUGACGGAGUGACAGAACCUGACUAUAACAAAAGUGAUAAAGAAGAGGACAAAGAAGGUAAACGAAAAAUACCCAAAAAUAUCGGACAAAACAUGACAGCAACAAUAUUAAAACUGCAACAAUUCAAAGUCUUAAGAGAAAGAAAAAAACAAAAUAAAAAAAAGCAAAAAAAAAAAAAAAAAAAAAAAAAUUGCACAUAAAAAAACAUUUUUACCAAGAGCUUUUUCUGGUACUUUACCUAAAUUAAAAAUAAAAAAAAAAAGAAAAAAAAGAUUAAUUUUUUC
ensembl:lncRNA